CUAUCACAUUUGUUAGGAGAUGCUGGCAGUCCUAAUAUUGUGGGUUUGGCAUUUCUUUCUUCAUCAUUCAUGGUAACCGACUGAAUACAAAUUUAAACAAUUCAAACAAACUGCAUUGCUGACUUUUUUGUCCCUGGAAGAAGAACACAAAUGUUGGCUUUGUUUUCUUUUGAAAUCCCUGUUGGCAGUGGUCUCUCAAGAUGUUGUUGGUUCAAAAGUAUCUUCUGCAUUUAGUGGUGACAAUUAUUUUAUAAUAGAGAAAACACAGGGGGCAAAUUGAAAAGACUCAGGGUGAUAUCGUUGCAAACAAGGAUGUUAUUAUUCGUCGUUCAUGGUUGAAUGAUGUGAAACAUAUGUUACGCUGAAAUGUGAUUUUUAACAAC